rnacentral:rRNA from 1 species
UACGUAGGGGGCAAGCGUUAUCCGGAUUUACUGGGUGUAAAGGGAGCGUAGACGGCAUGGCAAGUCAGAUGUGAAAGCCCGGGGCUCAACCCCGGGACUGCAUUUGAAACUGUCAGGCUGGAGUGCAGGAGAGGUAAGCGGAAUUCCUAGUGUAGCGGUGAAAUGCGUAGAUAUUAGGAGGAACACCAGUGGCGAAGGCGGCUUACUGGUCUGCAACUGACACUGAGGCGCGAAAGCGUGGGGAGCAAACAGG